AUACUUACCUGGCAGGGGAGAUACC
rnacentral:piRNA from 5 species